rnacentral:lncRNA from 1 species
CCUGGGCCCGCGGCUCAAACUCACGAAGACACUGCCUUCCCGUCUAGAAGCAGCAGCUUAGAGAGAAUCAAGGGUGUCGGUUCUGAAGGUUUUCAGGAGCGCAUUUCCACGUUCGCCCACACGGAAGGCUACUCAGAGCGCUUCCCUGUGGCUCCUAUCGCCGGGCACCACACCCUCUUUGCCCAGCACCACACCAACGUCUCUUCUCAAAGUCCAGGAACCAGACAGUGGAAACCGGCCUUCCAUGGCUGCCGUGGGCUCAGUCGAGCUCCUGACAGAGGCCCUCAAUUAUUGCAAACAAGUAAACUAAAUACAUAUCAGUAAGAUGGAAAUGUUGGGUGAACUUUUGAACAACAAUUAGCUGUUCUGGUGUAUGUACUGAACUUCGAAACCUUUGGUUCCUUGAAACCUUCGAGUUUUGUUAAAUUCAGUCAAAUGAUAGAAAUUUAUUGAAUCUCUAGAUCAUUUCCAAAUAAGAUAAUAUAUUAGACAGUAAUUCUUAGAUAGAGGUUUAGCUACUUUGGGCUUAUUUGGACACAGAAACCAAAAGAGGUUUGGGUCUGUUGGGAAACAUGUCUUGCAUUUUUAUCUGAAGAUUGUACCAUGAAGCAGUAUGUUUCUGGAAAUUAUAAAUAUAUUUAUAAAUUUGCAAAGCCACAGAAUGGCAGUGGAAAGGACCGUUUAUAAUUGCUUCCUUCUUGGUUUUUACUGAAAACAAGGUCUGUAAAGGCUGAGACUUCGAAGGAAGAGAUGAGAUUAAAGCUACUCAAAAUCAAGAAGCAAGACAUCUUUGUGCUCUAAGGAAAGUAAGGUGUAUGCUUUCAGUCGAGCAGACUUAAGGAAUGGAAAUAUUUUUCUUGGUUUUGGUAAGAAAGAUAAAUGGGUCCUAAAAAAGGAAAGAAGCCCUAGGACAAAUUUUUCAUGUCAAAAGAAGCUUCUAGAGUGAUGGGGGAAGAAACUCAAAGAAAACAGUUUUGUGCAUGAUCCAAAUGGCUGAUGUUGAAAAGUAGUUGAACCGAGUCAAUGAGCUUUCCUAUCAAAGGGAAGCUGUUGCUAAAUUAGAUUUUGGUUUUUGCCCUCUCUUAAAAGGAUCAUUUUCUUAAACUUUUCUUCUUUUCUGGGGAAAGAGAUUAGGAAAGAUUUUGAUGUCUUAUCAAAAUAAAUUUCCAGUAUUGUUUUGAUGAGGUCUUGAAUCACACCAAGUGGCUAAGAUGUUUCCUACACCUGUUUGAUUUUCUGCACUUGCCUGAAAAACUUUCAUGGUCACCAUGUUUAAAUGGAUAGCUAAGCAUGGUUUCCUAGGGAUCUAGGCUAUGCUGUGGGUAAAUGUUUCUGUAAGUGUUUUAAAAAUUAGAUAACAUUCCUAAAAUGCUGAUUUAUCCUGGUUAGCAGUCAUCAUUCUAAUUAUUAUCUUAAAGUGUUCUAGG